rnacentral:lncRNA from 10 species
GUGAUUCACCCCUGGGGUCCUGGCAGUGUAAGAAGAGCCUGGAGGGAAAGCAGCUCCCAUUCCAGAAUGCCUCCCGAGGGUAGCAGCAUUUUCACAUCUGCACUUUUCUCAUGAAAGGGCGAGGAAGAAGAAACAGAACUCUCUGCGGAAACACCCACCAUGCCCCAUCCAGUGUUGUGUGGCUGCCUUGCACCAUUCUCUCCUUUGAGAGAAUUAAAAUUCUCUUUGAAAUUAAAAAUGAUGUUUACUGGAAACUUCUGCUGUUCAGAAGCAAAACAUGUCCAUUGUUGAAAAACCAAAAACCUCCACUGAUGUUGCCAUCCAGAAACAAUCACCGCAGACACUUUGGUGUAUGUAUUUUUAGAACUUCCUCUCUCUCUCUCUUUCAUCCUCUCUAACCAAACUUGGAUAAUAUUAUGUGCACAUAUAUUGAAUUUCUUUUCAAUACAUUAA